rnacentral:rRNA from 1 species
GUGUCAGCCGCCGCGGUAAUACGUAGGUGGCAAGCGUUGUCCGGAAUUACUGGGCGUAAAGGGUGCGUAGGCGGUUUAUUAAGUGGGAUGUGAAAUACCCGGGCUCAACUCGGGAACUGCAUUCCAAACUGGUAAGCUAGAGUGCAGGAGAGGAAAGUGGAAUUCCCAGUGUAGCGGUGAAAUGCGUAGAGAUUGGGAGGAACACCAGUGGCGAAGGCGACUUUCUGGACUGUAACUGACGCUGAGGCACGAAAGUGUGGGGAGCAAACAGGAUUAGAUACCCUGGUAGUCCACACUGUAAACUAUGAGUACUAGGUGUAGGGGGCGAAGCCCUCUGUGCCGCAGUUAACACAUUAAGUACUCCGCCUGGGAAGUACGAUCGCAAGAUUAAA